rnacentral:lncRNA from 10 species
CAAAAACAAUGAUUUCUUCUUUUCCUCAUUUUGCUGUUCUACACCUGUUCAAUAGCAUUCCUUGCUAUUUUUUUCCUGCUUCUAGAAUUGAUCUGGAAGGAUGUGCACUUGUCAGAAACAGCACUUCAUUUUAUUCCCUUGUUUAUGACAGACAUAAACUAGCUCACUGUAUUCAGAAGAAAACUAAGAUGCCAGAGCAGCUUUCAGUCUCUCCAUGAAACUCUUCCUGGCCACCAGAUGCAUCUUCCUCUGACAGCUGGUGGCAUUAUCUGGGCACCAUAAACUGAGGUAUUUAUUUCAUUUUACAUUUUCUCUAACU